UACGUAGGGGGCUAGCGUUGUCCGGAUUUAUUGGCGUAAAGAGCGUGUAGGCGGCCAUGUAGGUCCGGUGUGAAACUCGAGGCUUAACCUCGAGAUGUCAUCGGAAACCAUUUGGCUAGAGUCCGGAAGAGGAGAGUGGAAUUCCUGGUGUAGCGGUGAAAUGCGCAGAUAUCAGGAAGAACACCCGUGGCGAAGGCGGCAUCCUG
rnacentral:rRNA from 1 species